rnacentral:rRNA from 1 species
UUUAUGGAGAGUUUGAUCCUGGCUCAGGAUGAACGCUGGCGGCGUGCCUAAUACAUGCAAGUCGAGCGAACUGACGAGGAGCUUGCUCCUUUGAUGUUAGCGGCGGACGGGUGAGUAACACGUGGGUAACCUACCUAUAAGACUGGAAUAACUCCGGGAAACCGGGGCUAAUGCCGGAUAACAUAUCGAACCUCAUGGUUCGAUAGUGAAAGACGGUCUUGCUGUCACUUAUAGAUGGACCCGCGCCGUAUUAGCUAGUUGGUGAGGUAACGGCUCACCAAGGCAACGAUACGUAGCCGACCUGAGAGGGUGAUCGGCCACACUGGAACUGAGACACGGUCCAGACUCCUACGGGAGGCAGCAGUAGGGAAUCUUCCGCAAU